GCGGGAGUAGCUCUGUGGUAGAGCGCCACCUUGCCAAGGUGGAUGUCGCGGGUUCAAGUCCCGUCUCCCGCUCCA
rnacentral:tRNA from 1 species